GUAGGUGGCAAGCGUUGUCCGGAAUUAUUGGGCGUAAAGCGCGCGCAGGUGGGUUCUUUAAGUCUGAUGUGAAAGCCCCCGGGCUCAACCGGGGAGGGUCAUUGGAAACUGGGGAACUUGAGUGCAGGAGAGGAAAGUGGAAUUCCACGUGUAGCGGUGAAAUGCGUAGAUAUGUGGAGGAACACCAGUGGCGAAGGCGGCUUUCUGGCCUGUAACUGACACUGAGGCGCGAAAGCGUGGGGAGCAAACAGGAUUAGAUACCCUGGUAGUCCACGCCGUAAACGAUGAGUGCUAAGUGUUGGGGGGUUUCCGCCCCUCAGUGCUGCAGCUAACGCAUUAAGCACUCCGCCUGGGGAGUACGGUCGCAAGACUG
rnacentral:rRNA from 1 species